rnacentral:rRNA from 1 species
AGUCGCACGGGCAGUAGCGAUAUUGUCAGUGGCGGACGGGUGAGUAACGCGUAGGAAUCUAUCUUUGGAUGGGGGACAACCGUGGGAAACUACGGCUAAUACCGCAUAACGCCUGAGGGCCAAAGCUUGAGAGAGCGUCUGAAGAGGAGCCUGCGUCUGAUUAGCUAGUUGGUGGGGUAAAGGCCUACCAAGGCUUCGAUCAGUAGCUGGUCUGAGAGGAUGAUCAGCCACAUUGGGACUGAGACACGGCCCAAACUCCUACGGGAGGCAGCAGUGGGGAAUAUUGGACAAUGGGGGCAACCCUGAUCCAGCAAUGCCACGUGUGUGAAGAAGGUCUUCGGAUUGUAAAGCACUUUUGGCAGGGACGAUGAUGACGGUACCUGCAGAAUAAGCCCCGGCUAACUUCGUGCCAGCAGCCGCGGUAAUACGAAGGGGGCUAGCGUUGCUCGGAAUGACUGGGCGUAAAGGGCGCGUAGGCGGCGUACACAGUCAGAAGUGAAAUUCCUGGGCUCAACCUGGGGACUGCUUUUGAUACGUGUGUGCUAGAGUGAGGAAGAGGGUUGUGGAAUUUCCAGUGUGGAGGUGAAAUUCGUAGAUAUUGGAAAGAACACCGGUGGCGAA